UAGCGGUCCGGGACAUUACCGGGAAGCUAACCAGGGAAACAUAGACUGACAAAGUCUAGUAAAUUAACUGGU
rnacentral:ribozyme from 1 species